CCUACGGGAGGCAGCAGUGGGGAAUAUUGCGCAAUGGGCGAAAGCCUGACGCAGCGACGCCGCGUGAGGGAUGAAGGUCUUCGGAUCGUAAACCUCUGUCAGCAGGGAAGAACGGUCACUGUGCUAAUCAGCAGUGAAUUGACGGUACCUGCAAAGGAAGCACCGGCUAACUCCGUGCCAGCAGCCGCGGUAAUACGGAGGGUGCGAGCGUUAAUCGGAAUUACUGGGCGUAAAGCGCUCGUAGGCGGUAUGUCAAGUCAAGGGUGAAAUCCCCGGGCUCAACGUGGGAACUGCCUUUGAAACUGGCAGACUGGAGUGUGUGAGAGGAUAGUGGAAUUCCAGGUGUAGGAGUGAAAUCCGUAGAUAUCUGGAGGAACAUCAGUGGCGAAGGCGACUAUCUGGCACAUAACUGACGCUGAGGAGCGAAAGCGUGGGUAGCAAACAGGAUUAGAUACCCGGGUAGUC
rnacentral:rRNA from 1 species